UACGAAGGGGGGCUAGCGUUGCUCGGAAUCACUGGGCGUAAAGCGCACGUAGGCGGCUUCUUAAGUCAGGGGUGAAAUCCUGGAGGCUCAAACUCCAGAACUGCCUUUGAUACUGAGGAGCUUGAGUCCGGGAGAGGUGAGUGGAACUGCGAGUGUAGAGGUGAAAUUCGUAGAUAUUCGCAAGAACACCAGUGGCGAAGGCGGCUCACUGGCCCGGUACUGACGCUGAGGUGCGAAAGCGUGGGGAGCAAACAGG
rnacentral:rRNA from 1 species